rnacentral:rRNA from 1 species
GAGACAUUGGAUCAUUUGCUUCUCGGAUGCAUUCUAGCACGACAGGUAUGGGCCAAGAUCAUGAACACUUGGAGUAGGCUGGAGUGGACGCCAUAUGCAGAUUCAAAACUAGUUGAAUGGUGGACAACACUCAACCCCCAAAAGCAAUUUCGAAAGGAGGCAUGGACGGUGAUAACACUGGUGCUAUGGAUGCUGUGGAAGCACAGAAAUGACAUUGUUUUCAAUGGAGCAUCAGCAUCGGCGAACGAUAUGCUUGUUAAGAUCGAGUUAGAGGCUCGGGACUAG